GGGAACCAAGGACAGUGUUAUAUUGGCAUCAAAGAAUGACAGUCAAUCUGUGGAAAUGGGAACCAAGGACACUGCUAUGUUGGCAUCAAAGAAUGACAGUCAAUCUGUGGCAAUGUGAACCAAGGACAGUGCUAUGUUGGCAUCAAAGAAUGACAGUCAAUCUGUCGAAAUGGGUAUUCCCAU